UACGGGGGGGGGCAAGCGUUGUUCGGAAUUACUGGGCGUAAAGGGCUCGUAGGCGGCCAACUAAGUCGGAUGUGAAAUCCCCAGGCUUAACCUGGGAACUGCAUCCGAUACUGGAUGGGCUUGAAUCCGGGAGAGGGAUGCAGAAUUCCAGGUGUAGCGGUGAAAUGCGUAGAUAUCUGGAGGAAUACCGGUGGCGAAGGCGGCAUCCUGGACCGGCAUUGACGCUGACGGUGAGCGAAAGCCAGGGGAGCCAAAGCGGG
rnacentral:rRNA from 1 species